UAGAUCAUGCUCUGAGGACAGGGGCUCCUGUCCUGUCAGCACAGCCCCCUGCCCAGUCAGGCCCAGGGCAGCUGGGGCCCGAAUGCCCAAUGAACUCAACGCAGUGUGCUCCCUUCUGCACACCCAGCCCCCUCCCUCUCCUUGCAGCCCUGCUUUCCCAGAACUGGCUUGGAGGUGUGCACACCUUCUGACCUGGGCCCGAGCCCAGGGCCCUCUGUCUCAGCCCAGGAUCCCCAAGCCCUCCACAACGCCAGUGGCUUCUGCAGAAGGGGCAGCAGGUGGGGAAAUGCUGAAACAGUCAGGGGUCACCUUGUGCAUGUGCAGAGCUGGGUGAGAGAGAGCCCCAGAGCCCCAGUGGCAGGGGCUGUUGGGGAUGGAGACCUGGGCUGCAGGGCUGGCAUUUGGCACCUGGCACCAGCAUCCAGAGACUCAAGGCCAUCCACCCUUUUCCUGAGGAGAAGCUGAUGGACGAAUGGUCUCAGGCAAGGAGUUGAGGUGGUCAUCUCCCAUCCGUGUGCAACCUACCUUCCAAGACCCCCAAACCUGAAAUAGAGAGGUCUGAUCUUGGAGGGUGCGUCUGAGGACCCAAGAGAGAACUUCCCUAGAAGUUCUCAGCACCCUGGACCGUGCCCUGAGGAACCCACUCACUGUUCAACACCCCGGAGCGAACCCCAGAACCAGGCUGGGGGCUCUGCCCAGAGGGCACCCCAAGGCCGGCACAUCUGGCAGCCACAAAGGAGAUGGGCCGGGCCUAGAUCGCCAGGACGUCAAAAGGACAUCUUCUGGGGGAAGGGCACGGGGGAACCCACCUCGCUCGGUCCUGAGUUUCUAGAAGUGGAGGAUCCUGAAGUUGUGGGAUCAAGAGGCCGAGGAGGUGGCCCGUUGAAAGAAGAUGGACUGAUGAUAGGCGACGGAUAGUCUCCUCUGGUCAAGGUUUUUGGAGAAGACUUACUCCUCCCAUCACCCCACCCCCAGGCAGGCAGGCCGCCUAAAAAAUGCAGGUGCCGGCCCUCUGUGAGCUCACCACCUUCUCACAAGCCCCCUGUGGUGGUUAUUAUUACCCUCAUUGUUCCGGGUAGGCGCCCAGGGCUCAGAGAGGCCAAGUGACUUGCCCAAGGUCACACAGCUCAGCAGGGGCAGAUAGGGAAUUGGAACGCGGGUUUCCAGAGCCCCGCUCCAGAAGCUCUUUCUAGACAGCCGCCACCUUCCCGGGAUACUGCUCAGGAAUAAAGCAGGAAGGCCCAGCUCCUGGCUUUCCCCCAAAAACAA